ensembl:lncRNA
CAUCGACUGGUAAAGUGAUAAUCCAGCAUCGACUGGUAAAGUGAUAAUCCAGCAUCGACUGGUAAAGUUAUAAUCCAGCGGCGACUGGUGGAGGUUAUAGUAAAGGAGAAAUCCAGCAUCGACUGGGCCAGAGAGGAGGAAGCAGGUAGCUGUGAACAUGGCCGUAAAACACCAAGUGAAUACCAGGAGGCCGCAGAGGAGCUGUAUAUUACUUCAGGACUCCUGUCUAUCAAAAUACACGUGCAGAGGACCCAUCCAAACAACGACAAAGAAGGAGAGGUUGCUGAUGGAGGACGUCAUCACAAUAGACAUUGUAUCCUGGUGAAGAAGGCUCCAGACCGCUAUGCAGACUACAUUCUCCCGGUAAGAAAUGAGCCACCUGCAGCCUCCCCUGUCCCACAGUGCCCACUACUGAGAAAAGCCAACGGUCAGAGCGAGUUUGUGCCCUGGAGUCAUCGGGACAUGGAAGCGCUGGAGAAGGGACUGCCGCCAUUGGGAGAAGGAGCUAACCCAUGGAUCCUGCUCUUUGAAAAAUACACAAUAGGUGAUAAGUUGGCACUUGGAGAUAUGAGGGCCUUAAUAGCCCGUCUAGAGGGAACAGUCAACCUAAGAGCCUUAGAAGCAAGAGCGGGAACCACCAACCAAGAGGAUGAGGCUCCAUUUGAUAAGGUCAGAGGAGUAUUUUGGGCCACAAUGCGAAACAUCUGGCCUACAAAGCCAAGUAUGUCCAUCCUGAUGGGUCUGAGUAUGAAACAAGGUGAAGACAUCUCUCAAUAUGUGAGGAGAGCAGAAACAGAAUGGCAUUUGGCCACAGGAGAAAGACACGACAAUAACAAAUCUACUGCAGUAAUCUGGCGACACACUGUGCAGCAAGGCUUGCCCCAGGCUGUUCAAACAGCGUUGGAGGGAGUAGUGGGACUGGACGACAUGGAUGAAAGCACAUGGAGAGACCAUCUAACCCACUUAUACAAAAUACAGAGAGCUGCGGAGACAAGGAGGCAAGAAGAACUGGGGACGAUGACGCAUCGACUCCUGAAGAUCCAACUGGCAGCAGCAGAUGCAGAAGCAACGAAAAAACAGAGAGUCAGGAAACAACUGUCGGUGAGAGAUGAACAACCUCAAUACCCUGUUCCUCCAGAAGCCACAUAUCCAACCGUAGGUCCAGCAGUGAGAAACCAAUUGAGAGGAUACCAGCAACCACCAAAGUACAGAGGGAGAGACAGAGGCCGUG